rnacentral:rRNA from 1 species
AUUGAACGCUGGCGGCAUGCCUAACACAUGCAAGUCGAACGGAGGUAGGGGCAACUCUACUUCAGUGGCGGACGGGUGAGGAAUGCGUCGGAAUCUACCCUAUGGUGGGGGAUAACACAGGGAAACUUGUGCUAAUACCGCAUAAUGUCGAGAGACCAAAGCAGGGGACCGCAAGGCCUUGCGCGAUAGGAUGAGCCGACGCCCGAUCAGCUAGUUGGUAGGGUAAAGGCCUACCAAGGCGACGAUCGGUAGCUGGUCUGAGAGGAUGAUCAGCCACACUGGGACUGAGACACGGCCCAGACUCCUACGGGAGGCAGCAGUGGGGAAUAUUGGACAAUGGGCGCAAGCCUGAUCCAGCAAUGCCGCGUGUGUGAAGAAGGCCUGCGGGUUGUAAAGCACUUUUGUUCGGGAAGAAAUCAUGCUGGUUAAUACCUGGUAUGGAUGACGGUACCGAAAGAAUAAGCACCGGCUAACUUCGUGCCAGCAG